GCGGGGGUUCCCGAGACUACUAUGGGAUCCUGUCCUAUAGGGCGGGAUUCAGGAUCCUGUGGCGUAGGCCUUCGUGGGUUCGAAUCCCACCCCCCGCACCA
rnacentral:tRNA from 1 species